UACAGAGGGUGCUAGCGUUGUUCGGAAUCAUUGGGCGUAAAGCGCACGUAGGCGGGUUAGCAAGUCGAUUGUGAAAGCCCCGGGCUCAAUCCGGGAAUUGCAGUCGAAACUGCUGAUCUUGAAUACUCGAGAGGGUGACGGAAUUCCUGGUGUAGAAGUGAAAUUCGUAGAUAUCAGGAGGAACACCGGAGGCGAAGGCGGUUGCCUGGCGAUGUAUUGACGCUGAGGUGCGAAAGCGUGGGGAGCAAAC
rnacentral:rRNA from 1 species